rnacentral:rRNA from 1 species
GAGCGAGAUCUUCGGAUCUAGCGGCGGACGGGUGAGUAACGCGUGGGAACGUGCCCUUUGCUACGGAAUAGCCCCGGGAAACUGGGAGUAAUACCGUAUGUGCCCUUCGGGGGAAAGAUUUAUCGGCAAAGGAUCGGCCCGCGUUGGAUUAGGUAGUUGGUGGGGUAAUGGCCUACCAAGCCGACGAUCCAUAGCUGGUUUGAGAGGAUGAUCAGCCACACUGGGACUGAGACACGGCCCAG